AGCAAAAGUUUUAUAUCUGAAUUAAUUAUUGAUUUUUUGCUUUGUUUUACAGAUCAUUACUGAACAUGCUAUGAAAUAUUGAUUUAUAAAAUAUCGUGUUACCAAGAUGAUAUGCCUCGAGGAGCAAUACAGGAGGAAAUACCUCUAUUUCUGAUCAAAUUACAACAAUACACCAAAGACAGUAGUUAUGAUCAUGAAGCUAUGAAUUUAAAGAAAAUGUACCAAACGACAAAGACGAUGAUGAAAUUGGAUGCCUCGGAUGAAAUGAAAUGAAAGGGGUCAGCAGUCGAUAUUUGUGACCAUACUAAAUGGCUACAAAGAAACUAUGAUGGAUAUACAAAGGUCACAGAAAUGUCUACUUUCAGGUACUGUUCUUUCUUGUUUGCCUGCGAACAGGCUGUAGAUAUGUAGAUAUUGUACCCAGGUCAUUGUUUGUUUUGUUGUUCUGGAUACAAUGAAAUCCGGCAUAAAUCCUGGCGGUAUAAAUGUUUAGUAUAUUUACACAUUCGAUCUAUUUUCUGUUCAGUAGACUUUGAUAGCUUGAAUGAAAGUUUACGAUGAUUUUCUUUGCAAAAACUGUACUUUCGGAAUUCAUCAGCUUCUGAAUUUGAAAACGGAUCUGAAAAGAG